GUACAUCCAGAGAAUUUAGCAGAGAUGCUUUAGUGCCUUCGGGAACUCUGAGACAGGUGCUGCAUGGCUGUCGUCAGCUCGUGUUGUGAAAUAGUUGGGUUAAGUCCCGCAACGAGCGCAACCCUUAUCCUUUGUUGCCAGCACGUAAUGGUGGGAACUCAAAGGAGACUGCCGGUGAUAAACCGGAGGAAGGUGGGGAUGACGUCAAGUCAUCAUGGCCCUUACGAGUAGGGCUACACACGUGCUACAAUGGCGCAUACAAAGAGAAGCGACCUCGCGAGAGCAAGCGGACCUCAUAAAGUGCGUCGUAGUCCGGAUUGGAGUCUGCAACUCGACUCCAUGAAGUCGGAAUCGCUAGUAAUCGUAAAUCAGAAUGUUACGGUGAAUACGUUCCCGGGCCUUGUACACACCGCCCGUCACACCAUGGGAGUGGGUUGCAAAAGAAGUAGAUAGCUUAACCUUCGGGAGGGCGUUUACCACUUUGUGAUUCAUGACUGGGGUGAAGUCGUAACAAGGUAGGCGUAGUGCU
rnacentral:rRNA from 1 species